AUUUGAAAUGUCAUGCAGUAGUGAUGAUGGGCGAAUGAAGCUUCAUGAAGCACUGAGGCUUUUCUCUGACUGUGCCGGGAAAAGAUUCAAAGCUUCGACUAGUGUCGAAAACAGUGCCAUCUGUUUACGCGUAUUUCACGUGUAACGCGUAUCUUUUUGUAAUUAAACACAUUAGUGGGCGUUCUAGCUUUAACAGUGAUCAAAGCAUUACCAUUUGUGUGGGGAAAUCAGUUACAGUGGAGCACUGACAGAACAGACUCUGACUGAGCCAGGCCAGUUGACAUCCAAGCUUGUUAUCAUGCAUUCAUACAAAUCAUCUGCACAAUGAAAUGAACAGUAGCAGUAUGUACAAAGACUGGUUACAAGGAUGAUUGACAGGAGGAGAGCCCCGCCCACCACAGACAGCAGUGUAGUGGAGUCCAUAACUGAGGAGACAAUGCGAGAACAUUGAUUUAUGGCAGUAUUUGGCCAAAGCAGAGAGCCUCCUCAUUCUUCUGAAUCUGUGGUUUUAGGUUAGUGUGACUGUGACUAAACCAGGGAAAUGUUUCCAUAUGCUAAUUUUGUAUAAAUGAAGCCGCAUAUGAAAGGUCAGGUAACUCAUUUCAUUUGGUUUUUAUGAAGCUGACUUGUUUUAAUGAAAAAGCAGCAAGUGGGUUUACUAUUUCUUGAUGUUAGCAAUAAGAACUGGUCUCUUUAAAAUCUUUAAGAAACAUGAAAACACAGAUCUUCCAUCCAUGAGCUCAUGAUCAUUUAUUCCUUAUCAUUUAAUACACUGUUCUUAAAACCUGCUGCUCUGAUCUCCACCAUGGACCUUUAGAUCUCUUAACUAUCUUGCAUCUUUGUGGGUUGCUUUCUUGCAGAACUUGGUGUUGAUGACUAAUAUGUCUAACAGUCAUUUGUACAUGUCAAAAAUCCUAUUCUUAACCAGUAUCAUCUUGUUUUCCAGUAAAAAGAUCUUAACAUCUAUAAAACAGGAUACAUUUAACCAAGAAUCCAGAGAAGG
ensembl:lncRNA